rnacentral:rRNA from 1 species
UACGUAGGGUGCAAGCGUUAAUCGGAAUUACUGGGCGUAAAGCGUGCGCAGGCGGCUUUGCAAGACAGAUGUGAAAUCCCCGGGCUUAACCUGGGAACUGCAUUUGUGACUGCAAGGCUGGAGUGCGGCAGAGGGGGAUGGAAUUCCGCGUGUGGCAGUGAAAUGCGUAGAUAUGCGGAGGAACACCGAUGGCGAAGGCAAUCCCCUGGGCCUGCACUGACGCUCAUGCACGAAAGCGUGGGGAGCAAACAGG